AAUUCGAUGAUACGCGAAGAACCUUACCAGGUCUUGACAUCCCUUGCAAAGCUAUGGAGACGAUAGUGGAGGUUAGUCAAGGAGACAGGUGGUGCAUGGUUGUCGUCAGCUCGUGUCGUGAGAUGUUGGGUUAAGUCCCGCAACGAGCGCAACCCUUAUUGCUAGUUACCAUCAUUAAGUUGGGGACUCUAGCGAGACUGCCAGUGAUAAACUGGAGGAAGUGGGGAUGACGUCAAAUCAUCAUGCCCCUUAUGACCUGGGCUACAAACGUGAUACAAUGGCUGAAACGAAGGGCAGCGAAGCAGUGAUGUGGAGCGAAACCCAAAAAAGCAGUCUCAGUUCGGAUUGAAGUCUGCAACUCGACUUCAUGAAGUUGGAAUCGCUAGUAAUCGUAGAUCAGAACGCUACGGUGAAUACGUUCUCGGGGUUU
rnacentral:rRNA from 1 species